UACGUAGGGUGCAAGCGUUAUCCGGAAUUAUUGGGCGUAAAGAGCUCGUAGGCGGUUUGUCGCGUCUGCUGUGAAAACCCGAGGCUCAACCUCGGGCCUGCAGUGGGUACGGGCAGACUAGAGUGCGGUAGGGGAGAUUGGAAUUCCUGGUGUAGCGGUGGAAUGCGCAGAUAUCAGGAGGAACACCGAUGGCGAAGGCAGAUCUCUGGGCCGUAACUGACGCUGAGACGCGAAAGCGUGGGGAGCAAACAGG
rnacentral:rRNA from 1 species